rnacentral:rRNA from 1 species
GUGGGGGAUAUUGCACAAUGGGGGAAACCCUGAUGCAGCGACGCCGCGUGAAGGAAGACGUACUUCGGUAUGUAAACUUCUAUCAGCAGGGAAGAAGAUGACGGUACCUGACUAAGAAGCCCCGGCUAACUACGUGCCAGCAGCCGCGGUAAUACGUAGGGGGCAAGCGUUAUCCGGAUUUACUGGGUGUAAAGGGAGCGUAGACGGUGAAGCAAGUCUGAUGUGAAAACCCGGGGCUCAACUCCGGGAUUGCAUUGGAAACUGUUUUACUUGAGUGCUGGAGGGGCAAGCGGAAUUCCUGGUGUAGCUGUGAAAUGCGUAGAUAUCAGGAAGAACACCGGUGGCGAAGGCGGCUUGCUGGACAGUAACUGACGUUGAGGCUCGAAAGCGUGGGGAGCAAACAGGAUUAGAUACCCCAGUAGUCC